rnacentral:ncRNA from 1 species
AAAAUAUAAGGCAGAAGGGCGGAUCCGCCUAAAAAAAAAUAGAAAAUUAAGCGGAAGAAAAGAAAAUAACAAUGAUUCCUUUAGUAACGGCGAGUGAACAAGGAAAAGCUCAAGCUGAAAAUCUUUCAAUAGAGAGAGGACCUUACGGGUGGUUUUUCCUCUUUCUGCAAAGAGUUGUAGCGUUUUCAAAUGAGAGAUGAUUUAUAUAUAAUACCCGUGUGUAUACUAUACAUAUAUAGCAUAUCAGUAAACAUCCUUGAAAAUUUUAAGCCCAUAUUUAUUUACAAGAAAACGAAAUUUUAAUGCAGGAUAGCAUUCCCACAGAGGGUGAAAGGCCCGUAGUUUUUGUGAAUAUAUACAAAAGAGUUUGGAUUUGGGGGGCGCAGCGGAAUUGAUCUUUCCCACUCGCCAUUUUUAUAUCUCUUUAUUUUUCUUGGAUAUCUUUCAUUUAAGAGUCGUGUUCACGAAAUUGGAACACUAAUAUGUGUGGUAAAUGGGAAGGGUUUUGGUGGUGCUGUGGGUUUUCGGUCUGUCCUACUCGAGGCUUUGCCUGUACCAGAGAGUGUGCAGGGGGAGUAAAGGUACGGAUAGCAUCAUAACUUUUCACGGUGGUACGCCCCCUUCUUUCAACCUUUUUUUUUUUUUUUUAAAGAAAAUUGUCGUUGUUAAUCACAUAAAGCUAAAUAUGCGUAGGAGACCGAUAGCAAACAAGUACCGUAAGGGAAAGAUGAAAUAGUACUCAGGAAUGAGCGAUUAAAUAGUACCUGAAAUCGUUAAGGUGGAACGGAUUAAGGAAGAGAAAAAGUAAGGUGUACCAUAUUUACUUCUUUCGGCAUGAAGAUUCUCGUAGGUGUCACAUCCUUCACGAGAAGUGGUUCUUCCCGAGUGUGAACAGAUUUCCUGCGGCUCUUGUUCUCAGGAUAUCUUCGUUCUUUCCAGCGAAAUCACUUCUGCGUGAGAUCCCUGUCACAGAGAGAUGUCGGGAGGAGUAAAAAGGUGGUAUGUUUUAUUUAAAGAAACAUCAGUAAAGGCUUUUUUUUUAGGGGACGUUGCAAAGUGUGGAGCGGACACGGGAAUGGGUGGGAGAAAAAAGGAAGAGACAUAUGUAGAGAAAGAGGCACACAUGUGUAUAUAUGCAUGUGUGUGUGUUUUUUUUUUUAUAUAUAUUUUUUUCUUUUUUUGACUUCUUUUCCCGGUUUUCCCCCUGGCUAAGGAGGGGCGACAUAUAUUGUGAUAGGAUUUCACUUUCGUAAUGAUGUCGGCUUCGCCACACAGAUGAAAGAGUUUGUGGUUUCAUCGCUCUUCUCACUCUGUCUCUAUGCUUCCCUUUCGGGGGUGUGUGUGGAGUUUUGUGGGUGGGUUGUGGACUAUGUGUUCUGUCAUCUAUUGUACGCACGUUAUUCCCCCCUUUACUGAGGGAGAUUUAAAAAAAAAGUAAAAAACUGGAUGCGAAAGCGACCAUUUUUUUACUUUUUAAGAUGUUUCUAAGAAGGUCUUCCUUAACCCACUCGUCUUGAAACACGAACCAAGGAGUCUAGUAGAUAUGCAAGCGAACGUGGUAAAAUAUAUUAUAUAUAUGAAUUGAUUAAACAUAUGACUGUGGUGCUUAGUAGUGGUGUUUUUUACAGCACAGCGAAAAGAACCCAGCAAGUUUGCGCGUUGUGGUUUUAAUCGAUCACCUUUGUAGAUUUGAAAUCCCUAGGUCUCUUGUUGUGUGUUUAUAUUUAAACCAACAAAAAAAGAGGGCAGUGGAAUUUGAUGCAUACAAUUACGGUUAGUAAUUUAUAUAAUUUGUACUUGACUACCGUAGGAGCAUAUAUACUAGGACCCGAGAGGCUUUGAACUAAAAACCGCGUUGAAGUCCGGAAUGGGCCACAUAUAUUUCAACUGGGAGGGUUGUUAUUUGUUUUUGUGCACAUUUAGGAUAGUUCAUAUCGACCGCGCUUUUAGGGGCAUAUACGGUAUAUAAUAUAUAUAAAGCGUUGCCUUGAUUGAAAAGCCUAUUAGCUGGUUAUUUUCGAAAGAUCUCUCAAGAUCACAGAAGUCGGAUGUGUACUUUUAUCUUCCACUUUUGAGUGUUGAUAUAUGAAAGGAAGAAAGAGGACUAAAUAAUAGGUAGUCUUGCACAGGAGAUCAUCUUUUUGAUAUUUUCCUUGAGGGUUAUUUUUAUUAUUAUUAUUAUUUUGUUUUUUUCUUUUUAUAUAUUUUCCCUUUUGGAUGGGUAAUUCGUAAUGAGAAUGUUGAGGGUAGAGAAAGUGGGUUGGAAGAAAAGAAAAGAAAAAAAAGAAAAGCGGCUUCAUUUUGAGGCAGUUAAAUUUUUUUUUUUUUUUUUUUUUUUACACCUGUGUCUCCUUCACUUUUCUUUGCGGUAUGACAGAAUACGAGACUUCAAGUGGGCCAAUUUUGGUAAACAAAAUAUGGCAAUGAGGGAUGAACCUAAUGCCUGGAUAAGGUGCCUAAAUAUUCGCUCAUGGGAUCCCAUAAAAGGUGUUGGUUCAUAGAGACAGUAGGACGGUAAUCAUGGAAGUUGAAAUCCGCUAAGGAGUGUGUAACAACUCACCUACCGAAUGGAACUAGCUCUGAAAAUGGAUGGCGCUAAAGCGGAUUACCGAUACCAGGCCAUAAAAAGUGAAAUGGCUUCGAAACAAAGCCGCUCCCAUUUUUGUGUCCUUUUGACAGCUUUUUAUGAGUAGAAAAUCGUGGGGUUUUGUGCAGAAGCGAAAUACGUGAGUAUUCGUGGAACAUAUCCCUAGUGCAGAUCUUGGUGGAAGUAGCAAAUAUUCAAAUGAAAUACUUUGAAGGGCCUAUUAAGU